rnacentral:tRNA from 1 species
UUAGCUCAGUUGGUUAGAGCACUUGACUGUUAAUCAAGGUGUCGUAAGUUCGAGUCUUACAG